AUCAACGCUGGCGGCGUGCCUAACACAUGCAAGUCGAACGCGAAAGCCCCGCAAGGGGUAAGUAGAGUGGCAAACGGGUGAGUAACACGUGGGUGACCUGCCUUCGAGUGGGGGAUAACGUCCCGAAAGGGACGCUAAUACCGCAUGACAUCCUGCGUUUGGAAACGCGGAGAUCAAAGCCUGGGAUCGCAAGACCUGGCGCUUGAAGAGGGGCCCGCGCCUGAUUAGCUAGUUGGUGGGGUAACGGCCUACCAAGGCAACGAUCAGUAUCCGGCCUGAGAGGGCGGACGGACACACUGGGACUGAGACACGGCCCAGACUCCUACGGGAGGCAGCAGUGGGGAAUUGUUCGCAAUGGGCGCAAGCCUGACGACGCACGCCGCGUGGAGGACGAAGAUCUUCGGGUCGUAAACUCCUGUCGAGCGGGAAGAACGCUUCCCGGGUGAAUAAUCCGGGGAAUUGACGGUACCGCUAAAGGAAGCCCCGGCUAACUCCGUGCCAGCAGCCGCGGUAAUACGGGGGGGGCAAGCGUUGUUCGGAAUUACUGGGCGUAAAGGGCUCGUAGGCGGCCAACUAAGUCGGAUGUGAAAUCCCCAGGCUUAACCUGGGAACUGCAUCCGAUACUGGAUGGCUUGAAUCCGGGAGAGGGAUGCAGAAUUCCAGGUGUAGCGGUGAAAUGCGUAGAUAUCUGGAGGAAUACCGGUGGCGAAGGCGGCAUCCUGGACCGGCAUUGACGCUGAUGAGCGAAAGCUAGGGGAGCAAACGGGAUUAGAUACCCCGGUAGUCCUAGCCCUAAACGAUGAAUGCUUGGUGUGGCGGGUAUCGAUCCCUGCCGUGCCGAAGCUAACGCAUUAAGCAUUCCGCCUGGGGAGUACGGUCGCAAGGUUGAAACUCAAAGGAAUUGACGGGGGCCCGCACAAGCGGUGGAGCAUGUUGUUUAAUACGUCACUAACCGUAGAACCUUACCAGGGCUUGACAUCCGUCGACAGCGUAUGAAAGUACGUCUUCGGAGCAAUCCGACGGCGAGACAGGUGUUGCAUGGCUGUCGUCAGCUCGUGUCGUGAGAUGUUGGGUUAAGUCCCGCAACGAGCGCGACCCUCACCCCAUGUUGCCAGCGGGUAAUGCCGGGAACUCUUGGGGAACUGCCUGGGUAACCGGGAGGAAGGUGGGGAUGACGUCAAGUCAGCAUGGCCCUUACGCCCUGGGCUACAAACAUGCUACAAUGGACGGUACACAGAGGAAUCCGAGACCGCGAGGUGGAGGCAAUCUCAAAAAUCCGUUCCCAGUUCAGAUCGCAGGCUGCAACUCGCCUGCGUGAAGUCGGAAUCGCUAGUAACCGCAGAUCAGCUAAGCUGCGGUGAAUACGUUCCCGGGCCUUGUACACACCGCCCGUCACGUCACUUGAGUUGUCUGCACCCGAAGUCCGUGGCCCAACCGCAAGGAGGGAGCGGCCGAAGGUGUGGGGAGCGAGAGGGACG
rnacentral:rRNA from 1 species